UCGGGGGAUGCCGAAAACCCGCAACAGAGUAGGCA
rnacentral:ncRNA from 1 species